rnacentral:rRNA from 1 species
UACGGGGGGGUAAGCGUUGUUCGGAAUUACUGGGCGUAAAGGGCUCGUAGGCGGCCAACUAAGUCAGACGUGAAAUCCCUCAGCUUAACUGGGGAACUGCGUCUGAUACUGGCGGGCUUGAAUCCGGGAGAGGGAUGUGGAAUUCCGGGUGUAGCGGUGAAAUGCGUAGAUAUCUGGAGGAACACCGGUGGCGAAGGCGGCAUCCUGGACCGGUAUUGACGCUGAGGCGCGAAAGCUAGGGGAGCAAACGGG